AAAACGGCCCUUUUCAGGGCCACCCAUUUCUACCAGGAAAAGCUA
rfam:Lingula anatina scaffold537, whole genome shotgun sequence.